GAGUUUGAUCUUGGCUCAGAUUGAACGCUGGCGGCAUGCCUUACACAUGCAAGUCGAACGGCAGCACGGGAGCUUGCUCCUGGUGGCGAGUGGCGAACGGGUGAGUAAUGCAUCGGAACGUAUCCUGGAGUGGGGGAUAACGUAGCGAAAGUUACGCUAAUACCGCAUAUUCUGUGAGCAGGAAAGCGGGGGACCUUCGGGCCUCGCGCUCUUGGAGCGGCCGAUGUCGGAUUAGCUAGUUGGUGAGGUAAAGGCUCACCAAGGCGACGAUCCGUAGCAGGUCUGAGAGGAUGAUCUGCCACACUGGAACUGAGACACGGUCCAGACUCCUACGGGAGGCAGCAGUGGGAAUUUUGGACAAUGGGGGCAACCCUGAUCCAGCCAUGCCGCGUGAGUGAAGAAGGCCUCGGUUGUAAGACUCGUUCGUCGGAGGAAGUAAGUAGUACGACCGACGAACUACGU
rnacentral:rRNA from 1 species